rnacentral:tRNA from 1 species
CUAGAUAGGCGGGCCUCGAUCCCACAAAAGUCUAGUUAACAGCUAAACACCCAAACCAGCGGGCUUCUAUCCG